rnacentral:rRNA from 1 species
CUUGUGGUUGGCUCAGGCGACGACGGGUAGCCGGCCUGAGAGGGUGACCGGCCACACUGGGACUGAGACACGGCCCAGACUCCUACGGGAGGCAGCAGUGGGGAAUAUUGCACAAUGGGCGAAAGCCUGAUGCAGCGACGCCGCGUGAGGGAUGACGGCCUUCGGGUUGUAAACCUCUUUCAGCAGGGACGAAGCUUUAGUGACGGUACCUGCAGAAGAAGCACCGGCUAACUACGUGCCGCAGCCGCGGG